rnacentral:lncRNA from 1 species
AAAAAUUAUGUUUUUCAUAUGGAAGAUUACCGGACAAUUUACACUUUGUUUUAGAUGAUCAAGAAAUAGAAAUUGUUCAAGAGUUUAGUUAUUUGGGUAUCUUAUUGACAAAAACGGGAAAUUAUAAAAAGGCGAUUAAAUCACAAGUUGAAAAAGGGACAAAAGCGAUGUAUGAGAUACUAAAAAGGGGGAAAUUUCAUAGCCUAUCAGUUUCUUGUCAGUUAGAUCUUUUUGAUAGAGUAGUAAAACCUGUUCUUUUAUAUGGAUCAGAAAUAUGGGGAUUCAGCAACUGUGAUAUUGUCGAAAAG